rnacentral:rRNA from 1 species
GAUGCCUUUAACCGGGUGUCGGGGGCGGACGGCACGUUUACUUUGAACAAAUUUGAGUGCUCAAAGCAGGCUUAUGCCUGAAAAUUCUUGCAUGGAAUAAUGGAAUAGGACUUCGGUUCUAUUUUGUUGGUUUUCGGAUCCGAAGUAAUGGUUAAGAGGGACAGACGGGGGCAUUUGUAUGGCGGUGUUAGAGGUGAAAUUCUUGGAUCGCCGCCAGACAAACUACAGCGAAAGCAUUUGCCAAGGAUGUUUUCAUUGAUCUGGAGCGAAAGUCAGAGGUUCGAAGACGAUCAGAUACCG